rnacentral:lncRNA from 1 species
GUGCCAUCUCUAACUGGAUGACGGCACACAUCAUUUCCCUUUAAUGUUGUAUGUUGUACAGCUGAAAAUGACGUGGUGGUAAAAUAUUUGCUUAUUUUCUCUCAUUUUUGAUUAGUUCAACUUUUUUUUUUUUUUUUUUUUUUUUUUUUGUGUGUGUGUGUGUGUUUGUGUGUGUGUGUGCACUCCAGUCAGUUGCACUAGUAGUUCUGUACUGUAAUCCUGAUUGAUACUACGUGUUGACUAGAAUAGAAGUUCUGAGAAAGUAUACAACAAAUAUAAGCAAGUUAUAUAUGCUCUUGAGACAGUCUAUGCUGUUCGAUUUUGGCUGAGAAUCUGGCCGUGAGCCACUGUACAGCUUUUGAGUUAUAUUACAAUUCUAUUUUAGACCCCUAGGAAAUAUACGGCAUAUUAUGUGUAUUAUCCAUUUGCAAGGUUACUAUUUUCCUUGAGCUGGCUGUUUGUGUCUGAUGUGAAGAUUUUUAAUCUUACAACAUCAGUGAAGAUGUGAGAAUUAUGUUCCCACUUUUCUAUUGUAUACUUUAGAAGUUACCAUCUGGAAGAGAAAGAAGCUGAAGUUCACGGACAAGUCCUUUACCAGACGUGAUGAGGGAGGGGGUGAGAAAAGUGGCUUGAAGUUAGUGUUCUGCUUCCAAAGCUGAAAGCCAAACCUACUCCUGUCAUGUCUUAGAACAGCCUGGGGGAUGCACUAAACAAUUCUGGCUUUGUGCCUGCUAAUGAUUCAUGUAAGCAUUCUUAUCACAAAGGGACUUCAGCAGAAGCCAAAGAUCAGACCUUAUUUGUGUAUCUGUGUGAGUGAUAGCAGAAGGGAACGAAGCAAUUCUUCAUCUUCUUUUUCUAUAGAGUGAAUAUAUCCUGCACCUGGAGAAGAAAUAGAUAAGAAACUGGGAAAGAACUAAGGAAGAAGAGACAGAACUACAAACCCAGAGAGUUCAAGGAUGGAUCCCACCCUGAGGGAUGAAUCUCCUUCCAGGUUGUGUUUAUAACUUUGGAAUUGGUAAGAAAAGUAGACUUCAGGAACACUUAGCUGGAAUCAGGGACUCUGGAGUGAUCUGUAAUAUCUUGGGUUUCCCUGGGGAGAAUAAGGCAGAAGAUUCCAGGAGGAAUAUCCAUCAAAGAGACAAAAACGGCAUGUAUCUGUAUCUCAUACUGCUUCAAUUGAUUCAGUACAAGCUGAAAACUCGAAGAGUUGGGUAA